GACGAACGCUGGCGGCGUGCCUAAUACAUGCAAGUCGAGCGAAUCAAUAGGAGCUUGCUCCUGUUGGUUAGCGGCGGACGGGUGAGUAACACGUGGGCAACCUGCCUGUAAGACUGGGAUAACACCGGGAAACCGGUGCUAAUACCGGAUAAUCCUUUUCCUCUCAUGAGGGAAAGCUGAAAGUCGGUUUCGGCUGACACUUACAGAUGGGCCCGCGGCGCAUUGGCUAGUUGGGGAGGUAACGGCUCACCAAGGCGACGAGGGGUAGCCGACGUGAGGGGUUGACCGGCAACAUUGGGAGUGAAACACGGCCCAGACUCCUACGGGAGGCAGCAGGAGGGAAUCUUCAAAAAUGGACGAAAGUCUGAUGGAGCAACGCCGCGUGAGCGAUGAAGGCCUUCGGGUCGUAAAGCUCUGUUGUUAGGGAAGACCAAGUACCGGAGUAACUGCCGGUGCUUUGACGGUACCUAACCAGAAAGCCACGGCUAACUACGUGCCAGCCGCCGCAGUAAUAC
rnacentral:rRNA from 1 species